rnacentral:lncRNA from 1 species
GGGGAAUAACAAUUGAAAACUUCUUAACAUAGCCUUAAUUUCAGUAUAUAAUACUAAGGAUUAGCUAUGAAAGUAAUUAAUAGAUGUAGAUUGGUCAUAUGUAAAAAACAAUAUAGGAUUAGCCUUUAAUAUUCUCUUGUUCUGUUUGGCUAAGAAUUCAUGACAAAUUUAAGGAAUCAAAUGAGGUUCAUCAUACAGAUUAUGCAAAAGAUAGGGAUUACUUAAACGUAUGCGAAUGAAACAUUAUAAAAUUCUGCUUGAAAACACGAAUAAUUGUAAAAUGUGUUUAGCUCUUGAGGAUACCCAGAGUAUGUCUUCAGCUCAUGAUCAAUCAUAUAUAAGUUCAUGAUCAAUCAUAUAUAAGCUCAUGAUCACAUACGACGUUCAUGGUACAAAUCCAUGCAUUCAAAUACUAAUUGAUAGGGGUAUAUCAUGAAUCGGAUGCUAUCAAUAUGGAAGAAAUCACUUUCACUAUUAAAACUUUUCAUUUUUACCUCAAUCUUUAUUUUUAUAGAAUGACAUUCCAAAAUGCAAAGGAAAAACGACCAGUAAAGAAAUCAUGGUAAAACUUUUCAAUUAUUAUCAGAAAAUAGAAUAAGGAUCCAAAUUCCUAUCAAAUGUGCCAAUAAAAAUUACCAAUGGGGACAUCAAUCUUUUACAAUUCUUCUUGAUUUCAUGCUGUGAACCAAAUGUUGUUUUUUAGAUAAUUUUUUUCUUUCAUAUUGAUAGCAUCCGAUUUGAAAUAAAAAACAACUUCAAUGCAACAAAACAUUGUACAAUACGUACCUAGAAUAGAAGAGAAAAGCAUUGGAAGAUGAAGCCACUGGAAGUUUAAAAAAACCCAAACAAAAAAGAGAAAACAGAAAUGAAUUACCUGUUAAGAUGAAGUCACCGGAAGUCGACGAAAAGAUGAAGCCACCGGAGGUCGCGGUCGCCGAUGCUGGAAGGGAUUAGGAAGGAGAAAUCGGAAAAACGGGAUUGGGUUGGGAGAAAUCAAAAAUCGGGAGGGAAGGAGUUUAGGGAUUUAAAUUUUUUUGGGUUUAAAUGUUUAAUUUAGGGGUUUGGGAU